rnacentral:rRNA from 1 species
AUGGAACAAGGUCUCCGUUGGUGAACCAGCGGAGGGAUCAUUAC